GAUGAACGCUGGCGGCGUGCCUAAUACAUGCAAGUCGAGCGAACGGACGAGAAGCUUGCUUUUCUGAUGUUAGCGGCGGACGGGUGAGUAACACGUGGAUAACCUACCUAUAAGACUGGGAUAACUUCGGGAAACCGGAGCUAAUACCGGAUAAUAUUUUGAACCGCAUGGUUCAAAAGUGAAAGACGGUCUUGCUGUCACUUAUAGAUGGAUCCGCGCUGCAUUAGCUAGUUGGUAAGGUAACGGCUUACCAAGGCAACGAUGCAUAGCCGACCUGAGAGGGUGAUCGGCCACACUGGAACUGGGACACGGUCCAGACUCCUACGGGAGGCAGCAGUAGGGAAUCUUCCGCAAUGGGCGAAAGCCUGACGGAGCAGCGCCGCGUGAGUGAUGAAGGUCUUCGGAUCGUAAAACUCUGUUAUUAGGGAAGAACAUAUGUGUAAGUAACUGUGCACAUCUUGACGGUACCUAAUCAGAAAGCCACGGCUAGCUACGUG
rnacentral:rRNA from 1 species